GACCCAGUGUGGCGGAGUGGUUUGAGCACUGGACUAUAACUUUGGAGACCAGGGUUUGAUUCCCUACUUGGCCA